rnacentral:rRNA from 1 species
UACGGGGGGAGCAAGCGUUGUUCGGAUUUACUGGGCGUAAAGGGCGGGUAGGCGGCCACCGCAAGUCGACUGUGAAAUCUCCGGGCUUAACCCGGAAAGGUCAGCCGAUACUGCGGGCUAGAGUGCAGAAGGGGCAACUGGAAUUCUCGGUGUAGCGGUGAAAUGCGUAGAGAUGUGGAGGAACACCGAUGGCGAAGGCAGCCUCCUGGGCCAGCACUGACGCUCAUGCACGAAGCGUGGGAGCAACAGG